CAAAUGUAUGUUGUGUUCAUUGAAUAUCCAUUGAAGGCUACUUGAAUUGAUUUGCAAUUAUGUGAAUUGUAUGUGAAACUCUUUACUUGUAUGGUUAUUCUAAAGUUGUCCCUAGUCGGAGUUCAUGUGAGGACACACAUGAAUAUUAGACUAGCACAUGUAUUAGUUGAUGACUAUGUUUCACAAGUCAUGGACAUGGAGAUGUUGAACUAAUAAUGUGGACACAUGUGGAGACAUGUGCUAGGACUGACCCAACACGAGAAGUAGUUCUCUCUUUAAACAACAUAUAUGCUUUGUCCUUAGACCUGAGAUUGUCGCAUGUAUUCUAGAUGUGGAUCGACCUACAGUGGGGCUAUCAAACGCUACGCCGUAACAGGGUAGUUAUAAAGGUAGUUUUCGGGUUUGUCAAGAAGCAUGCUAUGAGACAUGGUCAAUCAAGAUGGGAUUUGCCCCUCUCUGAUUGAGAGUGAUAUCUCUGGGCCCCUCGAGUGAUCGGAUCCGAAAAUGCAUGGCCAUGCUACGUACGGUUAAGAGUUAACCUACAAAGGGAUUCCGAAUCACAGGAUCGAGAAAGAGCGGUCGGCUUGAAGCUAGACCAAAUAUCGUGAGGCAAAGGGAAUAGCAUGUAUAUUAUGUUGUGAUGGUUCGUCUGAUAUGAUCUUCGUGUGCGUAUAGGAGUUGGCACGUCUUGCUAGAGGCCGCUACCGACUAUUGGGCCGAGUAGGAGUACUCGGGCCAUGUCUAUACGUAUCCGAACCCAUAGGGUCACACACUUAAGGGGCUAGAAGCCCAAUUCGGAUCUGAUCCGAGUUGGAUUAGGUUUAGAAGUACUAAUGGGCCUCGGAUCUAGAGGCCCGUCAGGAACCUCUAUAAAUAGAGGGGUGGGGGCGCCCUAGGGUUGACACCUUUUGGCGAAACACACCUGCCGCGCCUCCCACGCCCUCGCCUGUUGCAACUCGCGGAUCUAGCAGUCCGGCUUGCGACGCUUCCUCCCUGCACGUGUGGAUACCUUGGAGGUGUUGCGCCUGCAGCACUUGGACGAGCCAUCGACGAGCCGCCGACGAGCCACGACGAGCCGACGACGAGCCGCGGCGCUAGAGGCGAUCUUGCUGCACGUGGACGAGCUGCUGAGGAGCUGCUGGACGUGAUCGACUACGUACGACUACGUUGAUUGACUACGUACGACUACGUGAUCGUCUUCACUGCAUCGACGCAUAUCUACAUCUUCCGCACCAGUAGUGCGUCGAGUGGUAAUCCCGUGAUCCUUAUACGGCAGUUCUUCCUGGUUAUACGCGGUAGAAAUUUUGAUUUGCGCUAGCGUAGCCUACCUCGUAUCCCAACAGUGGUAUCAGAGCUGUAGCUGCUUAGUUUUGGAUUCGGGAUGUGUGCAUAUGGAGAUAUGCGAGUUUUCCGUUUGAUCUAUGUCCUGUUUUCGUGCCCUUGCUGCAAUGGUAGUGUAACGACAUACUCCUACCGGUCGGUUUCCGCCAUCGGAGUUAAGUGAUACACGUAAAUCCAGUUGCAGUGAGGGAAGAUCAAUAUGAUUGGUCAAAUCGAAAUCCAGGGUCAUACGCCAGGCGCAUUAGAUGUGCAAUAGUAGAUGGGAUCUACUGCCGGGGUCGGGAUUUUUGCCGUAUGCGUAUGCUUCGGUAAAUCAGCCGUAACUUUUCGGUACGAUCUCGGAAUGGGGCGAAUUUUAUAUGAAAAUUGAUCUACAGAAAAAGUUACACAUGAAUUUCAACCGCUUUGCCGUUUUCGGCGAAAUUAGAUUUCCCAAAUUCAGCUUGGAAGAUAGAGUUUCGGGCCUCCGAAGUUUGGAACGUUAGGACGCCUAACUCUGUUUUGCAGGAUGUAUGUAUCUUGUGAUCAGUAUGGCCCCCUUGUGUAUGUGAUGCAUGUGUGUAACUCAUUCGUGACCUGCGUGUCGCGCGUACGGCAACACGGCAGGAGCCAUAUGUAUUUUCACUUUAUUGUAUUUAAAGGUCUGCGUACCAAUCUGUGAUGAUCCAAGCAACUAUGUAAUCUUCAUUACUAGAUUCUUUACUAGCUAUUAGGUGUAAUAGCAUGCUCUAGUUCUUGGAGGACUCAUCACCAGGAGGAUGGCGCACAUGGAACAUGGAGAUGGAGAUCACCAUGGUGAACAGGUUCUAUGGAGAUGGAGAUCACCAUAUGAAAACGGGCCAUACUGUGUCACAAGCUGUGUGAAUGCUAUUCUGUUUAUGUUUUACUUUCUGCAUGCUGUGAUGUUAGAAGUAGAACGAUCGCUCACAAAGUUUAAGUUAGUAUGCCCUCCCAACUAAAACUUGCACCGUCCCAUGUCUUGUACAAUUAGUGGUGGGUCUAUGAAAUUAGGGUGCCACUAGUUUUCCUUGACUAGACGGGUUUGUGUCGGACACUUACACGCAUAAGGGUUGGUUUGCUUAACAAGGUUAUCUUAACGGUUAAGGACCUUGGGGCAUAAAGGUUGGGCGCCGAGACAUCGAGAUGUCACCCAACAACAGGAGUCAUAUGUGAUAUGAUUAGCAAAAGUUGCUUACCGAUCUACCUUGUUUGCUAGCGGUGAUGCUAAAGCUCACUAGUGGACUUGUUAGUUGUGGAUCCUGAAUCACUAAGUUUCAAUAGAGGGAUAUUGAUUUUAGUGGGAGUAGAUUCUGUUAAAAUAGUUUAAUGUGAUUUGCUCUAUCAUGGAUACGUUUGUCUUAGUGUAUUUUGCAUUACUUUUGUUGUAGAUUAAAUGGCACCUAGCAACACCACCACAUCGUUUGCUUUGCGUUUGGUCCUUGAGAAGGACAAGUUGAAUGGAACAAACUACUCAGAUUGGAUCCGUAACUUGAGAAUUGUUCUCAGGGCUGAGAAAAAGGAAGAUGUUCUAGACAACCCACUACCAGAAGAACCUGCUGAUGAUGCACCCGCUGCUGCUAAGAAUGCUUACAAGAAAGCAUGUGAUGCUAACCUCGAAGUAAGCUGCCUUAUGCUUGCUUGCAUGGAACCCGAGCUGCAGAUGCAGUUCGAAACAAACCAUGAGGCGCACGAUAUGAUCGUGGCGCUUAGAGACAUGUUCCAAACACAGGCCAGGACUGAAAGGUUCAAUGUGUCUAAGGCCUUUGUUGAGAGCAAGCUAGCAGAAGGCGCAGCAGUAGGACCACACGUAAUCAAGAUGGUUGGUUACACUCAAUGGUUGGAGAAGCUAGGCUUCCCACUGGGCCAAGAGUUGGCCACUGAUUUCAUUCUUUCCUCUCUUCCGCCUAGCUAUGGGAACUUCAUCUCGAACUACCAUAUGCAUGGGACGAAGAAGGGAUUGAAUGAGCUGUGUGGUAUGCUCAAGACAGCAGAGGCUGACAUCAAGAAAAGCGCUAGUACCAGCCAUGUGAUGGCGAUACAGAACAAGUCCAGCUUUAAGAAGAAGGGCAAUUCUUGGAAGAAGAAGGGCAAGGCUGGAACGUCCAAGCCAAACCCACCGCCCAAGGUUAAAGCUGGACCUGGACCUGCUCCAGACAAAGAGUGCUUUUACUGUCAUGAACUUGGUCACUGGAAGAGAAACUGCAAGCAGUACCUAGCUUCCUUGAAGAAUGGCGGAAGUAAGAGUACUUCUACCUCAGGUACGCUUGUUGUUAAUGUUAUAGACAACAUAUUUCUCGCUGAUACAAUUAUUAAUUCUUGGGUAUUUGAUACCGGAUCGGUUGCUCAUAUUUGCAAUUCGAUGUAGGGAAUGAUAAGAAGUAGAAGCGUGGAAAGAGGAGAAGUUGAUUUCUGCGUGGGCAAUAAUGCAAGAGUUGCUGCUUUGACCGUCGGGACGAUGCAACUCCACCUCCCGUCAGGAUUUAUUAUAGAGUUGAAUAAUUGUUAUUUCGUUCCUAGUUUAAGUCGAAACAUUUUAUCUCCUUCAUGCUUGAUGAAGGAUGGUUAUUCAUUUGCGAGUGAAAACAAUGGUUGUGUGAUCUCUAAGAAUAAUAUGUUUAUGGCUUUUGCACCCAUUGUGAAUGGAUUAUUUGUUUUAAAUCUUGAUGAUUCACCUGUCUGUAAUGUAAGUGCUAAAAGGCCUCGGCCUAAUGAUUUGAGUCCUACCUACUUGUGGCAUUGUCGUUUGGGUCAUAUAAGUGAAAAGCGCAUGAAGAAGCUCCAUUCUGAUGGACUUCUAACUUCGUUUGAUUUUGAAUCAUACGAGACAUGUGAGGCUUGCUUGCUAGGCAAGAUGACCAAGACGCCUUUCACAGGAUUUCCUGAGAGAGCAGUAGACUUGUUGGAACUCGUACAUAGUUAUGUAUGCGGACCAAUGAGCACGACGGCUAGAGGAGGAUUCCAAUACUUCAUAACUUUCACUGAUGAUUUUAGUAGAUAUGGCUAUGUCUACUUGAUGAGGCACAAGUCUGAAACCUUUGAAAAGUUCAAGGAAUUUCAUAAUGAAGUUGAAAAUCAGCGUGGCAAGAAAAUUAAGGCCUUACGAUCUGAUCGUGGAGGCGAGUAUUUGAGCCACGAGUUUAGCAAUCAUCUAAAGAGUUGCGGAAUUGUUCCACAACUUACGCCGCCCGGAACACCUCAGAGAAACGGUGUGUCCGAGCGACGUAAUCGAGCUUUGUUAGACAUGGUUCGAUCAAUGAUGAGCCAGUCGGACCUACCGUUGUCAUUUUGGCGAUACGCUCUAGAAACAGCAGCUUUCACACUUAAUAGGGUACCAUCUAAAUCCGUAGUUAAGACACCAUAUGAGAUAUGGACUGGAAAGGUUCCUAGUUUGUCUUUUCUAAAGAUUUGGGGAUGUGAAGUGUUUGUCAAGCGACUUCAGUCGGACAAGAUCACACCCAAGUCGGAUAAGUGCAUUUUUGUGGGAUAUCCAAAGGAAACUUUGGGAUAUUAUUUCUACAACCGAUCAGAAGGCAAAGUGUUUGUCGCUCGGAACGGGGUUUUCCUAGAGAAAGAGUUUCUCAAAGGAGAAAAGAGUGGAAAGACAGUGCAUCUUGAAGAAGUUCAAGAUGAGCCGAUCGGGCAAGAAUCAAUGAGUGAUGCUAACGUAGCAGAACAAGUUGAGAUACCCAUGGCAAGAGAAACACCACCAUAACCACGAAGGUCGGCAAGGCUCCGCGAAAUGCGGGAAAUAUUAUUGUUGGACAAUGAUGAGCCUGCGACAUAUGCAGAAGCAAUGAUGGACCCAGACUCCGAAAAAUGGCAGAAUGCCAUGCAAUCCGAAAUAGAGUCCAUGGGAGACAAUCAAGUUUGGAACUUGGUUGACCCGCCUGAUGGUGUUAAAGCCAUAGAGUGCAAGUGGAUCUAUAAGAAGAAAAAGGACAUGGAUGGAAAUGUUCACAUCUAUAAAGCACGACUUGUCGCAAAAGGUUUUCGACAAGUUCAAGGAGUUGACUACGACGAGACCUUCUCACCCGUAGUGAUGCUUAAGUCCAUUCGGAUUAUUCUAGCUAUAGCUGCAUAUUUCGAUUAUGAGAUAUGGCAGAUGGAUGUCAAGACAGCUUUCCUGAAUGGAAACCUAACUGAGGACGUGUAUAUGAUACAGCCCGAGGGUUUUGUCGAUCCGAAAAAUGCUGGAAAGGUAUGCAAGCUUCAGAGAUCCAUUUAUGGAUUGAAGCAAGCAUCUAGGAGUUGGAACAUUCGUUUUGAUGAAGUGGUCAAAGGGUUUGACUUCACCAAGAACGAAGAAGAGUCUUGUGUUUACAAGAAGGUUAGUGGGAGCUCUGUAGUAUUUCUAAUCUUAUAUGUGGAUGACAUAUUACUGAUUGGAAAUAACAUUCCUAUGCUUGAGUCCAUAAAGACUUCACUGAAAAAUAGUUUUUCAAUGAAGGACUUAGGGGAAGCGGCAUAUAUUCUGGGCAUUAAGAUCUAUAGAGAUAGAUCGAGAAGGCUUAUAGGUUUGAGCCAAGAUACUUACAUUGACAAAGUGUUGAAGCGGUUCAGCAUGGAAGAGGCAAAGAAAGGGUUCUUGCCUAUGUCACAUGGCAUACAUCUCAGCAAGACUCAGUGUCCUUUGACUGCUGAUGAGCGGGAUCGCAUGAGUAGAGUGCCAUACGCCUCGGCUAUUGGAUCUAUCAUGUAUGCAAUGAUAAGUACUCGCCCAGAUGUUUCAUAUGCACUAAGUAUGACAAGCAGACACCAAUCUGAUCCAGGUAAGAGUCACUGGACAGCGGUGAAAAACAUUCUUAAGUACUUGAGAAGGACUAAAGAUAUGUUCCUCGUCUAUGGAGGUGAGGAGGAGCUCGUUGUAACAGGUUACACCGAUGCUAGUUUCCAAACCGACAGAGAUGAUUCAAAGUCACAAUCAGGAUUUGUGUUCACGCUAAAUGGUGGUGCUGUAAGUUGGAAGAGUUCCAAGCAGGAGACGGUGGCCGAUUCUACGACAGAAGCCGAGUACAUCGCGGCUUCGGAAGCCGCAAAGGAAGGUGUUUGGAUAAGGAAUUUCCUCAUUGAGCUUGGUGUGUUCCCGAAUGCGUCCAGCCCAUUGAAUCUCUACUGUGAUAACAAUGGGGCAAUUGCGCAAGCAAAGGAGCCAAGGAACCACCAGAAGAACAAACACGUAAUGCGGCGAUUUCAUCUGAUUCGAGACUUCGUUAACCGGGGUGAGAUCAAGAUAUGCAAAAUACACACGGAUCUGAACAUUUCUGAUCCGUUGACAAAACCACUCCCACAGGCUAAGCAUGAUGCGCAUGCAAGAGCUAUGAGUAUUAGGUACCUUCUAGAUUGACUCUAGUGCAAGUGGGAGACUGUUGGAGGUAUGCCCUAGAGGCAAUCAUAGAGAUGAUGAUAUUCCAUUUGUAUCCAUGAUUUGUAUGUUGUGUUCAUUGAAUAUCCAUUGAAGGCUACUUGAAUUGAUUUGCAAUUAUGUGAAUUGUAUGUGAAACUCUUUACUUGUAUGGUUAUUCUAAAGUUGUCCCUAGUCGGAGUUCAUGUGAGGACACACAUGAAUAUUAGACUAGCACAUGUAUUAGUUGAUGACUAUGUUUCACAAGUCAUGGACAUGGAGAUGUUGAACUAAUAAUGUGGACACAUGUGGAGACAUGUGCUAGGACUGACCCAACACGAGAAGUAGUUCUCUCUUUAAACAACAUAUACGCUUUGUCCUUAGACCUGAGAUUGUCGCAUGUAUUCCAGAUGUGGAUCGACCUACAGUGGGGCUAUCAAACGCUACGCCGUAACAGGGUAGUUAUAAAGGUAGUUUUCGGGUUUGUCAAGAAGCAUGCUAUGAGACAUGGUCAAUCAAGAUGGGAUUUGCCCCUCUCUGAUUGAGAGUGAUAUCUCUGGGCCCCUCGAGUGAUCGGAUCCGAAAAUGCAUGGCCAUGCUACGUACGGUUAAGAGUUAACCUACAAAGGGAUUCCGAAUCACAGGAUCGAGAAAGAGCGGUCGGCUUGAAGCUAGACCAAAUAUCGUGAGGCAAAGGGAAUAGCAUGUAUAUUAUGUUGUGAUGGUUCGUCUGAUAUGAUCUUCGUGUGCGUAUAGGAGUUGGCACGUCUUGCUAGAGGCCGCUACCGACUAUUGGGCCGAGUAGGAGUACUCGGGCCAUGUCUAUACGUAUCCGAACCCAUAGGGUCACACACUUAAGGGGCUGGAAGCCCAAUUCGGAUCUGAUCCGAGUUGGAUUAGGUUUAGAAGUACUAAUGGGCCUCGGAUCCAGAGGCCCGUCAGGAACCUCUAUAAAUAGAGGGGUGGGGGCGCCCUAGGGUUGACACCUUUUGACGAAACACACCUGCCGCACCUCCCACGCCCUCGCCUGUUGCAACUCGCGGAUCUAGCAGUCCGGCUUGCGACGCUUCCUCCCUGCACGUGUGGAUACCUUGGAGGUGUUGCGCCUGCAGCACUUGGACGAGCCAUCGACGAGCCGCCGACGAGCCACGACGAGCCGACGACGAGCCGCGGCGCUGGAGGCGAUCUUGCUGCACGUGGACGAGCUGCUGAGGAGCUGCUGGACGUGAUCGACUACGUACGACUACGUUGAUCGACUACGUACGACUACGUGAUCGUCUUCACUGCAUCGACGCAUAUCUACAUCUUCCGCACCAGUAGUGCGUCGAGUGGUAAUCCCAUGAUCCUUAUACGGCAGUUCUUCCUGGUUAUACGCGGUAGAAAUUUUGAUUUGCGCUAGCGUAGCCUACCUCGUAUCCCAACAGGGACAAGCUCUACAGAAAAAGCGCAUCAUCAGGGGUACUCAUGAAAUGUGUUAUCCGAGAAGAAGGCCAAUAAAUCUUAGAAGAAAUACACAAAGGAAUCUGUGGUAAUCAUGCCUCUUCACGAACAAUCGUAGGCAAAGCUUUCAGAGGAGGCUUUUACUGGCCCAUGGCAUUGGCCGAUGCAAAACAAUUGGUCCGCAAAUGCCAAGGCUGCCAGUUCUUCACUAAGCAACAACACGUCCCCGCCUACAAACUCAUCACGAUCCCUCCAACAUGGCCUUUCGCUUGCUAGGGGCUACAUAUGAUAGGACCACUACCAACUGCGCUAGGAGGUUCGAAUCGAGUACUCGUAGCCAUCGACAAAUUCACCAAAUGGAUCGAAGUCAAACCCGUCACUUGCCCAAAGGCAAACCGAGUCCUUGACUUCCUGGACGAAAUCAUACAUCGCUACGGUUUCUCGAACAGGAUAAUCACCGAGCUGGGAUCCAACUUCAACAACCACGAUUUCUGGGAAUAUUGCGAGAAUAAUGGAAUUGACAUACGAUACAUCUCGGUUGCUCACCAAAGGGCCAACGGACAAGUCGAACGUGCCAACGGCAUGAUACUUGAAGCACUCAAGAAAAGGCUACGCGAAGUCGGUAACACAAGAGGAGGCAAAUGGCUCAAAGAACUACCUAAUGUCCUAUGGGGACUACGAACCCAACCAUGCAAGUCUACCGGGUUCUCCCCCUAUUUCCUUGUAUAUGGGUCAGAGGCUAUCCUCCUUGUAGAUGUCAUGCGGCAGUCUCCUGCAGUCGAACAAUAUGACGAAGGAAUAGCAAAAGAAACAAGACGCUUAGAUCUGGAUAGUCUGGAAGAAACGAGAUGUGCAGCCCUAAUUCAAUCAGCCAGAUACCUCGACGGUUUAAGACGCUACCAAGACCGCAAUAUUAAAGAGCGAUCCUUCAACUUAGGCGACAUGGUCCUCAAACGAAUCCAGGACACAUCAGGGUUGCACAAGCUCAACUCGCCAUGGGAAGGUCCCUACAUUGUAGCCAAGGUCAUAGGACCUGGAUCAUACAGACUACAAGAACUCUCAGGUGAACAAAUACCAAAUUCCUGGAAUAUAGAACAUCUCUGCCGCUACUACCCGUAGUAGACCACAGAGCAUGUACUCGGGCCUUCGCCCCAAGUUUUUCAAAUAAACACCUAUUCUCAGCCACUCGUGGUCUCCAGCCCGAUGAGCCCCAGCGCUCCGCUCUCCGACUUGAUUUCAUCAAAAUCCCUACGAGUCACUAUGGGCUAUUCACAGUUACUCGAGCUCUCCGGCUCUGCGAGCCCCCAUGCUCUACUCUCGACCCAUGACUUGAUUUCAUCAAGUCUCCGAGUCAUCAACAACCCGCAGAAAAAUACCGACAGGUACCUAAGCUCCAGUACGAGUACUCAACUCAACUUUAGAAGACUAAAGCAGUUUUUUUGCAAAGAACCAUGACUGCAUCAUUUAGUCGUUCUUUACUCAAGAAAAGACCGACACAAUCAUCAAAUAACUAACUCAAGAUUGCUUUGAAUAGGAUAAUUUCUGAAGUUACAUACAAUUACUCAAAACAGAGUCAGGGUACUCAAAAUACAAUAGCACAACAAAGACUACAAGCACCUGCCUACUGGUAGUCUGCACAUAAGCCCCAGGCUUUUAUUAUCUCACAAGGAUACACAGGCCUAGCGACUACUAAAACAACAAGGUGUAAACAGCGUCAAAAGGUAGGGCCCGCACGCAAGGAAGCUACAUAGUACGCAACCAUAUCCUGGUCCUCCUCCUAAACAACACCAGGAACUCCUUCACCGCCGCUCCCUCGACAACGGCAAUGAUGAAUCCCCGAUGCAGCAUAAAGGAGAAAAGGAACCAAGACUGCUCCCUUGCUAGCUUCGGCGCAUCAUCCCACACUGCAUGCCACACCUCCACCUCUGAUCAGAGAGCCGGAUAAAGACCACGGCACUCAUCACCCAUCACUCGCGAGUUCCAGCACAGACUUAGCUGGAUCACAAGCUGCAAGAUGAGGCACAUGAGAAACCCUCCUAUGAGGAUUCUUCUAGCAUCGCGGCUAUCCCUACGAGUGCAAGAGUAUGUGGAGGGAAGGUGGCUCUAAUCUACGAGGAAUCUUCUAGCACCAGGGCACUCUUUGAAAGCUUUCUACAAUCAAAUAACAGCAAUCUAAAGCAAUCCAUUACUACUCCGGAGAAGCAUGGCCUUGGUCGACCCCCCCCCAGUGGUCUAUUUAUAGCCAAGCGCCACAACCACUACCUACUCGGAAGUUACUGUCCACUCGUGAUGACAAGCCUUAAAGCACUGACAAGAGUCAGCCAGACACUUUCUGACCCCACUCACGUGAAGGCAUUCAACCGCAAAAAACAAAAGUGAACAGUUCGCCCGUGCAGCCCUCUUAAAAGUGAAGAAAAAAGUCAGAGUACUUUCAACAGCAACACCAAUAAUUGACGUCCGCGGCAGACAAUACAACCACUCGGCUAAACUUAGACUUGCUCCCCCGACUACAAAGAUUAGCCAAGACAAGAUCAUUCAUCACAAUUCAGACCAAAUAAAAUUCAGAAAUCGUCUCAAGUACUCCAACAAAGUACUCGACAAGUCACAACUCGAAAGCUACACAAGACUAAGGCUCUUCCAAAGAUACAAAUUCAGCCAUCUUCAAAGAGAUUGACUCAACCUCCUCGAGAUACUGCACAUAAGCAUCCUCUGUGCAGUUUCGAGCAACACCGUCACCAGCCACCGUCAAUUCUGCCUUCGGGUAAUAUGACUUGACUACCGCAAGGACUUAUUUACAAACAGCCUUGCAGAGGCUAGCAACCUUACCCAGAGCAGUCUUCAGCCGUUCGUCUAGUGAGCAUCAUCUUCAAGCAGAGUGAUGGCAUUAACUAAGUCAUGCGCAGCACUAGUCAAUUCUUGGAGCUUGCCUCGAAGCCUUCCGAUGGUCCUACCAUGGUCUCUACAGGCCACCAUGGCCAUAGCAAGCAUAACUCCAUUUUGAUUUUUUCUAUCCCUCUGAUGCUCACAUGCAGCCUGAGCCUCAGCCAGCGAUGCCCGAAGAUGGUCAGCCUCAUCGGCUACUCAGUCAUGAGCAUUCCUCCAGUCAAGAAGUUGGCUACUCACAGCAGCCUCUUUUCUCUUGAGCUCUACGCCAAAGUACCACAGAUCAGAACGCACGACAAUAGUCAAAUAUACUCAAGGAUCAUGAGUACUCACCUUGAUACUUCUUGUUCAAGGAUUUAUAGCGAUUCUCCAAUAGCUCUUGCAGGACUUCAUGGUCCCUCCGCUCUAUCGCAAAAGACUUUGCAGCCUCCUCAUGAACUCUUAAGGACUCUGUAAGACAGCUACAUUCUUGCUCCAGUUGCGCCACUCGUUGCACAAUGUCAUUUUGCUCCUAGAGGGCCCGGGAAUUCCUUUGGGCUCUAUCAUACAGGUCCUGCAAGAAAAAGCAAGUCGUCAAGAUUCGGCAAAAUACAGUCAGUCAAAGUACAAUAAGAUCACACACCUCAAAGCUCUGGAUAGCUCUUCAAAACUCUGACUCCGACGGCAGCUUGAGCACUGGACCCUCGAUAUUCUUAGCAAUCUAAGGCUUCGAAGCUCCACCCAAAACAGCCCCUGAAAAACAAAACUUAUGAGUCAUUAUAGGAUACAAUACAUUGACUUCAAAAAAGCACCCGUACUCCGACUACAUACCCAGUGCGCCAACCUCAUCCACUUUAGUCGUAUCAACUAAAGCCAAGGUACCACCAACAGUCAUUGAAGACGGCACACCCCCAGAACUCGAAGGGACUGCAGGGAUCUCCACUGAGCGGAUAACUUCUUGAAGCAUGGAGAUAGUGGCACCAAGACGAUUUGUGUCCUCAACCUCGGGUGCGUCAUCCAUCGAUAAAUCAACUAAGGGACCAGAAAGUGUAGUCGGAAGACCAGACUCCACUCCUGUGUCCACAGGAAUGGUAUCCUCAGCAUCCCUGGAUCCAAACACGAGGUCAUCACCCGUUCUUUGGAAGUUCAAAAAUUUACACAAAACUCACCGAGAUGACCGCAACGGCAAUCGCACACGUUUCUUCUCAAUUACUGCCGGUUGAGUACUUGGCACCACAGGGUCAGUCGGAGGUAUGAUAUUCUCACCAAGUCCUGAAAAAAUCAAGGAUGAGACUGUGAAACUUCAGACUACCAAAUAAUCAAAAAACUCACCACUGGCGAUAACAUCGGAUAACAAAGCACCAGCAGCAACCACCGGUGCCUUCGUGACGUCAGUCACCUCAGAAGAUGCACCCACGAUAGCCUGUUCGGGGACUGCCAACUCGGUAACUGACUGCGCCAGGGCUGCAGGCUCAGAAACUCCUCUCAAGUUUACAAGCGGCACCCCUACCAUCAACUCUUCAAUAGCUGCGACACUGACAACAGCGUCCUUAGCAAUACCGACUACCUCACCAGAAGUAGCCUCAUCGCUGCCCGCAGUCGAGUCGUCGGCCUUCCCAAAUCGACUUAAAUCAUCAGCAUUCCAAGACAAUUUUCCAAAAAUUACCUAAUACAACGACUACGUACCUUGGUACUCUACGACCCUCAGGGGUCAAACUCGACGACGAAAUAGCCUGCACAAUAGCUUUCUUUCGAACCACCUGUCGUUUCUUAGCAGGAGGAGAAGGUUCAUCAUCAGUGUCAGCCACAACAAUUUCCCUGCCCUCAAGCUGCAAGAAGCCGAAAAGCACCCAUGACUGCAAACAACAAUUGUUACUCGAAGAUAUUGCCAUACCUCAAAAUACACAAAUCAAGCAAAAGAACAUACCUCUGUUGGUCUAUACCAACUAUCAAACUGACGAAGAACUCCUGGAAGCACUGGUACCUCCUGAUAGUUCCUAAAAAACUUCCCCAGCAACGCCUCCACAUCAUCAUCAAAUAUGUCAUCAGGGGACAUCCAUGACGGGUCAUCAAAAACCGAGUACUCCGAGCCUAAGUGAGCUCGUUGCUACAAAGGCUGAACCCUCCGCCUAAGAAAACUGACGGCCACAUUGAUGCCAGUCAAAGCCCAACGAUCUCAACUCGGCAAUCUGAAUCAGCAAGUUAGCAAUUUCAGGGGUGCCCUCAGGCUCGCUCACACAAUUAUCCGCGUGCUUCAGAGCGUGACCAGUGACCACUGGCAGAAUGGGAUCAUGAUUCCCAACAUAAAACCAUCUUUUCUUCCAAUCGCCAUAAGAGUCAAGUAAGUCAUACUUGAGAUAAGCACUCGAGUUCCUCAGCUGAAACCCAGCCCCUCCAAAAACCUCUAUUCUAGUCACACUAGGCUGCGGAUUACAGUGAAACAACUUUCUAAAAAGCUCAAGACUAGGAGGGACACCCAAGUACACUUCGCACAAGUGUACAAAGAUAUCCAUAUGGAGCAUGCCAUUAGGAUUCAAGUGAACUAACAGAAGAUUGUAGUACUCCAGAAUACCUCUGAAGAAGUCGGAGGUGGGCACUGUCAGUCCCUUCUCGACGAAGUUUGCAAGCAUGACCAUCUCCUUCGGAUACUCCUCAAACUGCCACGCAAUGCCAAAAGCAGGCCUCCACUCGAGUUCAAGCUUCGACGGAAGAAGCUUAGCAUCAACCAAAGCCUGAACCGCUGGUUCCUUCGUCACAAAGUGCUGCCAGGUGAACCCAGGUGGCAGCGGCGCAAUUUUGUUUGUUGGGCCACACUUCGGCACCGGCAGCGCGAGCUCUUCCCCUUUUUGGAUUUAGAUCUCACCUUACUAGCGGCCGCAGCCUGCCCUUGGGUUUUUUCCGGUUUCUUCCCCAUCUUCUUGACGCGCAUCAGCCAGCCUCGGGAAAAGUGAAGAAGAGAAGGAUCGGCAGCAGAUCUUACUCAAGGGCAAGGAGAGAGCAACAAUGGCGGCGGCGGCACAGGAAAGGGCGGCGGCUCAAAGAUGAAUAGGAAAGAGGUGCACAAAAUAGAUCUGCUAAAAAAGAACAUACCGCUAACCACCAACGGGCCUGCCCUGUUAUAUCUCCAUCACCUCCGGAUUCCAAGUGUCAAUUAAACAAUGGUCAGAUAUAAAUCGGAUUUAUCACCACAAUACCCAAUAGAUACUCUGACCAAGAGGUUUGACCACUUCAUCGACUACAAAUAAUCGCCUAAGUGCUCGGGGGCUGUGGAUACCGUACCCGCUGGACAAAGUUUUCUUUUUUCUGAAGACUACUAAAGCCAAAAAACAAACACAGGAUUGACCCUCAGCCUGAUUCUUCGAUUCAACCUAAGGCUCGGGGGCUACUCCAUAUGGAGUGCGAUUGUCAUCACACUGCAAUACAAUAUCUCCAAGGCAAAAGUGACUCGAAGCAACGAUAGGCGAAGAGUACCUUCCAGCCAUGUGACAGUACUCGAGUACUCGAAGACCAUGCCAAGCACUCAGUAAGAGUCAGGAUUUACUCCGAUAAACGACUUCUGAGUACUCAGAACUGUUCCACUUGACUACAAAGUACUCGGGGGCUUGUCGGGCAUACAUCCCCAGGCCCACAAGUAGGCCCUGUACGGCCCACUUAGGGGCGUACUCGAACGUGAUCAGGGCUCAGGGGCUACGCGGCAGGGAAGCGUGGCCCACUCGGACUCCUGAAGACUAGUUGGAAUACGUAAGGAAACUACUCUGUCUAGGCCGAGUAGGACUCUGUAACCGUACCCGACUAGGUUUCUACCCUGUAACCCUGCUCCCCUAAUCAUAUAAGGGUGGGCAGGGACCCCCUCCAAACACCUCAUCUAAGUUCAAUACAAUCAACACACAGGACGUAGGGUAUUACGCGAUCUAGCGGCCCGAACCCAUCUAAAUCGUGUUCCUUGCGUCACCAUCGACUCCUUGAUUCUCAACGACACCCAGCGCACAAAAGACCACUUAGGGUACCCCCUAGGCGGGUUGCCGGUCUAAAAUACCGACAACUGCGCUCCUGAAGAGCCCGAGUAUUUUUUUGGGCCUUAUCAUACAGAUCCUACAACAACACAACACAAGCUCUGGAUAGCUCUCUUGAUCUCCGACUCUGGUGGAAGCUCGAGUAUCGGAUCCCCAGUGCUCUUGGCGACUUGAGGUUGCAGCACUUUACUCACAAUAGACCCUGAUAAGAAAAAAUCACGGUUAGCUACUAGGUAUAAGGGAGCUCCCCUUUAAAAGCAUCUCUACUCUAGUAACAUACCUGUUGCGCCGACUUCGCCUACUCCUGUCGCAACAACCAGUGCCAAGCCAUCUGCACCAGCCGCGCUCACAAUCGAUGCAACUUCAGCCGUAAGGACCUUCAUUGAGCGGAUGACCUCCUGCAGCAUAUUCAUGGUAGCACCCACAAGACUUUUGUCUUCGAUCUUAGGAGCAUCAUCAUAAGUCAAGUCGACUAUGGGCUCAGAAAUGGUAGUUGACGGACCAACCUCAACCUCCGCCUCCACCUCGACAGGAAUAAUGCCUUCGGCAUCCCUGGAUCGAUCAAGUCACAAGAUUAUCAUCCGAUCUGCGAGUACAAAAAUCAUCAAAUAAAGGAAAAGACUACACAAGUCCUUAUCAGGCUGAUCGCGGUGGUAGACGAACAUGCCUCUUUUCGACUACCACCAGCUGGAUACUCAGCACUGGCUCCACAGGAGCCACGGGAGGAAAGUCCUCCACUCUUUCGCCAAGUCUUGAAAGAACCAAGGUUGAGACUACGUACACACGACUACCAGAACAGAUCGCGUACUCACCACUAGUAACAUCGUCAGGCAACAAGGCGUCAGCAGCUACUUCCGGUGUCUUCACAGCAUCCUGCACCACAGAAGCCGUGGCCUCAUCACCUGAUGGGUUAGUAGCCUGCCCAGGGGCUCCCAGCUCGGGGGCUGCUGACCCUAAGUUUGACGACACCUCCUCCACGAGCAGCUUUUCAACAGCAGUGACACUUGCAACUGCAUCUCUAGCAAUCGUGACUACUUCAGCAGAAGUAGCCUCGUCAUCACCAAAAGUCAAGUUAGCGACCUUUUCAACAUACAGACUAAUAUCGUCAGUAUUCUUCAAGUAAUAUGACUAAGUCAACAAGAAACUCAAAGUACUCAAAUAGUUUCAACUCACGACUACGUACCUUGGUACCUCGUGACUCAUCGGGGGUCAAGUUUGAAGCAGUCGCAGUAUGCUGAGUAGCAGGUUUCUUCCGCACUACUCGACGUCUCUUAGCCGGAGGAGCAGAAGGCGCAUCUUCAGUUUUACCCUCGGCUACCUCCUUAUCCUCGGAAGGCGUGGUCAAGAAACCAGCUAGCACCUGGGACUACAAACCACAAGACAACAUUGUUACUCGGAAAGUACUACUUGUCAACAAAAUCAACCGACUACAUCUUCGACUACACAAAAUGAACAAAAGAGAAGCAAAAAUACCUCUGUGGGUCCAUACCAACCGUCAAACAGUCGAGGACUCCUGGGAGUACUGGCACUCCUUGAUAGUUCUUGAAGAACUUACCCAACAAUGCCUCCACGUCGUCGUCGGAUACGUCUUCAGGGGACAUACGCGAUGGGUCAUUAAAACCUGUGUACUCGAAGCCCCAAUGAGCACGCUGCUGCAGGGGCUAAACUCUGCGCUUGAGGAAACUAGCGGCUACAUGGAUCCUAGUCAACCCUAAAGUUCUCAACUCGUAAACCUGCACUAACAAGUCGAUGAUCUCACGGGUAUCCUCAGGCUCCGUUACCCAGUUUUCCGCAUGUUUCGGAGCAUGGCCGGUGACUACUGACAAGACAGGAUCAUGGUUGCCAAUAUAAAACCACCUCUUCUUCCAAUCGCCAUGGGAAUCAGGUAGGUCGUACUCGAGAUACACACCCGAGUUUCUCAACUGAAACCCAGCUCCUCCAAAGACUUCUGUUCUAGUCAUGUUGGGUCGUGGUUUACACUGGAAAAAUUUCCUAAACAAGUCCAAACUAGGCAAAACACCCAAGUACACUUCGCACAAGUGUACAAAGAUAGCCAUAUGCAGCACACCAUUCGGAUUCAAAUGGACUAGCUAAAGAUUAUAAUACUCGAGAAUACCUCUGAAGAAGUUAGAGGUAGGCACCAUCAGGCCUCUCUCGACAAAGUGAGCCAGCAUCACUAUCUCCUUAGGGUGUUCUUCGAAUUGCCACGCAUUUCCACAUGCGGGCCUCCACUCAAGCUCCACCUUUGGUUGGAGCAGCUUCGCAUCAACCAAGGCCUAAACCGCUAGCUCCUUCAUCAUAGAAUGCUGCCAGGUGGCCCCAGGAGGUGGCGGCGCAGUCUGGUUCAUCGGGCCACACUUGGGCGCCGGCAACUCAGGCUCCUUGCCCUUCUUGGAUCUGGAUCAUCCCUUCCUGGUGGUUGUGGACUCCCCUAGAUCUUCUUAGGUUUCUUGCCCAUCUUCUUGGUAUGCAUAAACUAAUUUUGAGGAAAAAAGGGGGUGAAGAAGACCACCGCAAUUUCUCUUCAAAGAUUCAGCAGAGCAACAAUGGCAGCGGCGGCACAAACAGAAGCAGCGGCGCUAGGGUUGCAAAGGGGGCGCAAAUUGCAGAUCUGCUGAAACAGCCAUGCCAAUAAUUAGCGCUGGGCCCCCUUAUUAUAUCAGCAACAUUUUCGGGAUCCACCAAUUAAUCUAGCAAUGGUCAGAUACGAUGCAGAUUUACCACCAUAUAGUGUCCAACAGCUACUCUGACCAAGACAUUGAUCCCUUCACCGACUACAAGUAGUCAUCCAAGUGCUCGGGGGCUGCGUAUAUCGUACCCGUUGGAUAAAGUUUUCUUUUUCUGAAGACUAAGAUAAGUCGAAGUGAAAUUACAAGUUUGACCCUCAGCCUGAUUCUUCAAUUCAACCUAAGGCUCGGGGGCUACUCCAUAUGGAGUGCAAUUGUCAUUGCAAUACCAUAUAAAAAAGUUUCAAGACAAAGACUACUCGAAGCAAACAUUGGGAACUGCUAAGGGUACCUUCUAGUCACGCAACAGCUCCAGUACUCAAAGGUUGGCUGCAACGAGAAGUACUCGAGGAGCACCAGAAGGAACUCAGGCGACAUCUUCAAGUACUCGGAACUGUUCCUCUCAACUACAAAGUACUCAGUGUUGGGUUACGAGGUAGGCUACACUAGCGCAAAUCAAAAUUUCAACCGCGUAAAACUAGGAAGAACUGCCGUAUAAGGAUCACGGGAUUACCACUCGACGCACUACUGGUGCGGAAGAUGUAGAUAUGCGUCGAUGCAGUGAAGACGAUCACGUAGUCGUACGUAGUCGAUCAACAUAGUCGUACGUAGUCGAUCACGUCCAGCAGCUCCUCAGCAGCUCGUCCACGUGCAGCAAGAUCGCCUCCGGUACCGCGGCUCGUCGUCGGCUCGUCGUGGCUCGUCGGCGGCUCGUCCAAGUGCUGCAGGCGCAACACCUCCAAGGUAUCCACACGUGCAGGGAGGAAGCGUCGCAAGCCGGACUGCUAGAUCCGCGAGUUGCAACAGGCGAGGGCGUGGGAGGCGCGGCAGGUGUGUUUCGCCAAAAGGUGUAAACCCUAGGGCGCCCCCACCCCUCUAUUUAUAGAGGUUCCUAACGGGCCUCUGGGUCCGAGGCCCAUUAGUACUUCUAAACCUAAUCCAACUCGGAUCAGAUCCGAAUUGGGCUUCCAGCCCCUUAAGUGUGUGACCCUAUGGGUUCGGAUACGUAUAGACAUGGCCCGAGCACUCCUACUCGGCCCAAUAGUCGGUAGCGGCCUCUAGCAAGACGUGCCAACUCCUAUACGCACACGAAGAUCAUAUCAGACGAACCAUCACAACAUAAUAUACAAGCUAUUCCCUUUGCCUCACGAUAUUUGGUCUAGCUUCAAGCCGACCGCUCUUUCUCGAUCCUGUGAUUCGGAAUCUCUUUGUAGGUUAACUCUUAACCGUACGUAGCAUGGCCAUGCAUUUUCGGAUCCGAUCACUCGAGGGGCCCAGAGAUAUCACUCUCAAUCAGAGAGGGGCAAAUCCCAUCUUGAUUGACCAUGUCUCAUAGCAUGCUUCUUGACAAACCCGAAAGCUACCUUUAUAACUACCCUGUUACGGCGUAGCGUUUGAUAGCCCCUAAGUAGGUCGAUCCACAUCUAUAAUACAUGCGACAAUCUCAGGUCUAAGGACAAAACGUAUAUGUUGUUUAAAGAGAGAACUACUUCUCGUGUUGGGUCAGUCCUAGCACAUGUCUCCACAUGUGUCCACAUUAUUAGUUCAACAUCUCCAUGUCCAUGACUUGUGAAACAUAGUCAUCAACUAAUACAUGUGCUAGUCUAAUAUUCAGUGUGUCCUCACAUGAACUCCGACUAGGGACAAUUUUAGAAUAACCAUACAAGUAAAGAGUUUCACAAACAAUUCACAUAAUUGCAAAUCAAUUCAAGUAGCCUUUAAUGGAUAUUCAAUGAACACAAUAUACAAAUCAUGGAUACAAAUGGAAUAUCAUCAUCUCUGUGAUUGUCUCUAGGGCAUACCUCCAACAGUCUCCCACUUGCACUAGAGUCAAUCUAGAAGGUACCUAAUACCCAUAGCUCUUACAUGCGCAUCAUGCUUAGCCUGCGGGAGUGGUUUUGUCAACGGAUCAGAAAUGUUCAGAUUCGUGUGUAUUUUGCAUAUCUUGAUCUCACCCCGGUUAACGAAGUCUCGAAUGAGAUGAAAUCGCCGCAUUACGUGUUUGUUCUUCUGGUGGUUCCUUGGCUCCUUUGCUUGCGCAAUUGCCCCAUUAUUAUCACAGUAGAGAUUCAAUGGGUUGGACGCAUUCGGGAACACACCAAGCUCAAUGAGGAAAUUCCUUAUCCAAACACCUUCCUUCGCGGCUUCCGAAGCCGCGAUGUACUCGGCUUCUGUCGUAGAAUCGGCCACCGUCUCCUGUUAGGAACUCUUCCAACUAACAGCACCACCAUUUAGCGUGAACACAAAUCCUGAUUGUGACUUUGAAUCAUCUCUGUCGGUUUGGAAACUAGCAUCGGUGUAACCUGUUACAACGAGCUCCUCCUCACCUCCAUAAACGAGGAACAUAUCUUUAGUCCUUCUCAAGUACUUAAGAAUGUUUUUCACCGCUGUCCAGUGACUCUCACCUGGAUCAGAUUGGUGUCUGCUUGUCAUACUUAGCGCAUAUGAAACAUCUGGGCGAGUACUUAUCAUUGCAUACAUGAUAGAUCCAAUAGCCGAGGCAUAUGGCACUCUACUCAUGCGAUCCCGCUCAUCAGCAGUCGAAGGACACUGAGUCUUACUGAGAUGUAUGCCAUGUGACAUAGGCAAGAACCCUUUCUUUGCCUCUUCCAUGCUGAACCGCUUCAACACUUUGUCAAUGUAAGUAUCUUGGCUUAAACCUAUAAACCUUCUCGAUCUAUCUGUAUAGAUCUUAAUGCCCAGAAUAUAUGCCGCUUCCCCUAAGUCCUUCAUCGAAAAACUGUUUUUCAAUGAAGUCUUUACGGACUCAAGCAUAGGAAUGUUAUUUCCAAUCAGUAAUAUGUCAUCCACAUAUAAGAUUAGAAAUACUACAGAGCUCCCACUAAUCUUCUUGUAAACACAAGACUCUUCUUCGUUCUUGGUGAAGUCAAACCCUUUGACCACUUCAUCAAAACGAAUGUUCCAACUCCUAGAUGCUUGCUUCAAUCCAUAAAUGGAUCUCUGAAGCUUGCAUACCUUUCCAGCAUUUUUCAGAUCGACAAAACCCUCGGGCUGUAUCAUAUACACGUCCUCAGUUAGGUUUCCAUUCAGGAAAGCUGUCUUGACAUCCAUCUGCCAUAUCUCAUAAUCAAAAUAUGCAGCUAUAGCUAGAAUAAUCCGAAUGGACUUAAGCAUCACUACGGGCGAGAAGGUCUCGUCGUAGUCAACUCCUUGAACUUGUCGAAAACCUUUUGCGACAAGUCGUGCUUUAUAGAUGUGAACAUUUCCAUCCAUGUCCUUUUUCUUCUUAUAGAUCCUCUUGCACUCUAUGGCUUUAACACCAUCAGGCGGGUCAACCAAGUUCCAAACUUGAUUGUCUCCCAUGGACUCUAUUUCGGAUUGCAUGGCAUUCUGCCAUUUUUCGGAGUCUGGGUCCAUCAUUGCUUCUGCAUAUGUCGCAGGCUCAUCAUUGUCCAACAAUAAUAUUUCCCGCAUUUCGCGGAGCCUUGCCGACCUUCGUGGUUGUGGUGGUGCUUCUCUUGCCAUGGGUAUCUCAACUUGUUCUGCUACGUUAGCAUCACUCAUUGAUUCUUGCCCGAUCGGCUCAUCUUGAACUUCUUCAAGAUGCACUGUCUUUCCACUCUUUUCUCCUUUGAGAAACUCUUUCUCUAGGAAAACCCCGUUCCGAGCGACAAACACUUUGCCUUCUGAUCGGUUGUAGAAAUAAUAUCCCAAAGUUUCCUUUGGAUAUCCCACGAAAAUGCACUUAUCCGACUUGGGUGUGAUCUUGUCCGACUGAAGUCGCUUGACAAACACUUCACAUCCCCAAAUCUUUAGAAAAGACAAACUAGGAACCUUUCCAGUCCAUAUCUCAUAUGGUGUCUUAACUACGGAUUUAGAUGGUACCCUAUUAAGUGUGAAAGCUGCUGUUUCUAGAGCGUAUCGCCAAAAUGACAACGGUAGGUCCGACUGGCUCAUCAUUGAUCGAACCAUGUCUAACAAAGUUCGAUUACGUCGCUCGGACACACCGUUUCUCUGAGGUGUUCCGGGCGGCGUAAGUUGUGGAACAAUUCCGCAACUCUUUAGAUGAUUGCUAAACUCGUGGCUCAAAUACUCGCCUCCACGAUCAGAUCGUAAGGCCUUAAUUUUCUUGCCACGCUGAUUUUCAACUUCAUUCUGAAAUUCCUUGAACUUUUCAAAGGUUUCAGACUUGUGCCUCAUCAAGUAGACAUAGCCAUAUCUACUAAAAUCAUCAGUGAAAGUUAUGAAGUAUUGGAAUCCUCCUCUGGCCGUCGUGCUCAUUGGUCCGCAUACAUCACUAUGUACGAGUUCCAACAAGUCUACUGCUCUCUCAGGAAAUCCUGUGAAAGGCGUCUUGGUCAUCUUGCCUAGCAAGCAAGCCUCACAUGUCUCGUAUGAUUCAAAAUCAAACGAAGUUAGAAGUCCAUCAGAAUGGAGCUUCUUCAUGCGCUUUUCACUUAUAUGACCCAAACGACAAUGCCACAAGUAGGUGGGACUCAAAUCAUUAGGCCGAGGCCUUUUAGCACUUACGUUACACACAGGUGAACCAUCAAGAUUUAAAACAAAUAAUCCAUUCACAAUGGGUGCAAAAGCCAUAAACAUAUCAUUCUUAGAGAUCACACAACCAUUGUUUUCACUCGCAAAUGAAUAACCAUCCUUCAUCAAGCAUGAAGGAGACAAAAUGUUUCGACUUAAACUAGGAACGAAAUAACAAUUAUUCAACUCCAUAAUAAAUCCUGACGGGAGGUGGAGUUGCAUCGUCCCGACGGUCAACGCAGCAACUCUUGCAUUAUUGCCCACGCGGAAAUCAACUUCUCCUCUUUCCACGCUUCUACUUUCUUAUCAUUCCCUGCAUCGAAUUGCAAAUAUGAGCAACCGAUCCGGUAUCAAAUACCCAAGAACUAAUAAUUGUAUCAGCGAGAAAAAUGUUGUCUAUAACAUUAACAACAAGCGUACCUGAGGUAGAAGUACUCUUACUUCCGCCAUUUCUUCAACGAAGCUAGGUACUGCUUGCAGUUUCUCUUCCAGUGACCAAGUUCAUGACAGUAAAAGCACUCUUUGUCUGGAGCAGGUCCAGGUCCAGCUUUAACCUUGGGUGCUGGGUUUGGCUUGGACGUUCCAGCCUUGCCCUUCUUCUUCCAAGAAUUGCCCUUCUUCUUAAAGCUAGGCUUGUUCUGUAUAGCCAUCACAUGACUGGUACUAGCGCUUUUCUUGAUGUCAGCCUCUGCUGUUUUAAGCAUGCCACACAGCUCAUUCAGACCCUUCUCCAUCCCAUGCAUAUGGUAGUUCGAGAUGAAGUUACCAUAGCUAGGCGGAAGAGACGAAAGAAUGAAAUCAGUGGCCAACUCUUGGCCUAGUGGGAAGCCCAGCUUCUCCAACCGUUGAGUGUAACCAACCAUCUUGAUUACGUGUGGUUCUACUGCUGCGCCUUCUGCUAGCUUGCUCUCAACAAAGGCCUUAGACACAUUGAACCUUUCAGUCCUGGCCUGUGUUUGGAACAUGUCUCUAAGCGCCAUGAUCAUAUCGUGCGCCUCAUGGUUUGUUUCAAACUGCAUCUGCAGCUCGGGUUCCAUGCAAGCAAGCAUAAGGCAGCUUACUUCGAGGUUAGCAUCACAUGCUUUCUUGUAAGCAUUCUUAGCAGCAGCGGGUGCAUCAUCAGCAGGUUCUUCUGGUAGUGGGUUGUCUAGAACAUCUUCCUUUUUCUCAGCCCUGAGAACAAUUCUCAGGUUACGGAUCCAAUCCGAGUAAUUUGUUCCAUUCAACUUGUCCUUCUCAAGGACCGAACGCAAAGCAAACGGUGUAGCGCUGCUAGGUGUCAUUUAAUCUACAACAAAGUAAUGCAAAAUACACUAAGAAAAAUGUAUCCAUGAUAGAGCAAAUCACAUUAAACUAUUUUAACAGAAUCUACUCCCACUAAAAUCAAUAUCCCUCUAUUGAAACUUAGUGAUUCAGGAUCCACAACUAACAAGUCCACUAGUGAGCUUUAGCAUCACCGCUAGCAAACAAGGUAGAUCGGUAAGCAACUUUUGCUAAUCAUAUCACAUAUGACUCCUGUUGUUGAGUGACAUCUCUAUGUCUCGGCGCCCAACAUUUAUGCCCCAAGGUAUGCGUGUAAGUGUAAGUGUCCGACACAAACCCGUCUAGUCAAGGAAAACUAGUGGUACCCUAAUUUCAUAGACCCACCACUAAUUGUACAAGACAUGGGACGGUGCAAGUUUUAGUUGGGAGGGCAUACUAACUUAAACUUUGUGAGGGAUCGUUCUACUUCUAACAUCACAGCAUGCAGAAAGUAAAACAUAAACAGAAUAGCAUUCACACAGUUGUGACACAGUAUGGCCCGUUUUCAUAUGGCGAUCUCCAUCUCCAUAGAAUCUGUUCACCAUGGUGAUCUCCAUCUCCAUGUUCCAUGUGCACCAUCCUUCUGGUGAUGAGUCCUCCAAGAACUAGAACAUGCUAUUACGCCUAAUAGCUAGUAAGGAAGCUAGUAAUGAAGAUUACAUAGUUGCUUGGAUCAUCACAGAUUGGUACGCAGACCAUUAAAUACAUUAAGGUGACAACACAUAUGGCUCCUGCCGUGUUGCCGUACGCGCGACACGCAGGUCACGAAUGAGUUACACACAUGCAUCACAUACACAAAGGGGUCAUACUGAUCAUAAGAUACAUACAUCCUGCAAAACAGAGUUAGGCGUUCUAACGUUCCAAACUUCAGAGGCCCGAAACUCCAUCUUAGAGGCCGAAUUUGGAAAAUCUAAUUUCGCCGAAACUGACAAAGUCAGUCGUAAUCACGUGUAACUUUUUCUGUAGAUCAAUUUUCAUAUACAAUUCGCCUCAAUCCGAGAUUGUACCGAAAAGUUACGGCUGUUUUACCGAAGCACAUGCACACGGCAAAAUUCCGACCCCGGUAGUAGAUCCCAUCUACUAUUGCACAUCUCAUGCGCCUGGCGUAUGAACCUGGAUUUCGAUUCGACCAAUCAUAUUGAUCUUCGCUCCACUGCAACUGGAUUUACGUGUAUCACUUAACUCCGAUGGCGGAAACCGACCGGUAGGAGUAUGUCGUUACACUACUAUUGCAGCAAGGGCACGAAACCAGGACAUAGAUCAAACGGAAAACUCGCAUAUCUCCAUAUGCACACAUCCCGAAUCCAAAACUAAGCAGCUACGGCUCUGAUACCACUGUUGGGUUACGAGGUAGGCUACACUAGCGCAAAUCAAAAUUUCUACCGCGUAAAACUAGGAAGAACUGCCGUAUAAGGAUCACGGGAUUACCACUCGAUGCACUACUGGUGCGGAAGAUGUAGAUAUGCGUCGAUGCAGUGAAGACGAUCACGUAGUCGUACGUAGUCGAUCAACGUAGUCGUACGUAGUCGAUCACGUCCAGCAGCUCCUCAGCAGCUCGUCCACGUGCAGCAAGAUCGCCUCCGGUACCGCGGCUCGUCGUCGGCUCGUCGUGGCUCGUCGGCGGCUCGUCCAAGUGCUGCAGGCGCAACACCUCCAAGGUAUCCACACGUGCAGGGAGGAAGCGUCGCAAGCUGGACUGCUAGAUCCGCGAGUUGCAACAGGCGAGGGCGUGGGAGGCGCGGCAGGUGUGUUUCGCCAAAAGGUGUAAACCCUAGGGCGCCCCCACCCCUUUAUUUAUAGAGGUUCCUAACGGGCCUCUGGGUCCGAGGCCCAUUAGUACUUCUAAACCUAAUCCAACUCGGAUCAGAUCCGAAUUGGGCUUCCAGCCCCUUAAGUGUGUGACCCUAUGGGUUCGGAUACGUAUAGACAUGGCCCGAGCACUCCUACUCGGCCCAAUAGUCGGUAGCGGCCUCUAGCAAGACGUGCCAACUCCUAUACGCACACGAAGAUCAUAUCAGACGAACCAUCACAACAUAAUAUACAAGUUAUUCCCUUUGCCUCACGAUAUUUGGUCUAGCUUCAAGCCGACCGCUCUUUCUCGAUCCUGUGAUUCGGAAUCUCUUUGUAGGUUAACUCUUAACCGUACGUAGCAUGGCCAUGCAUUUUCGGAUCCGAUCACUCGAGGGGCCCAGAGAUAUCACUCUCAAUCAGAGAGGGGGCAAAUCCCAUCUUGAUUGACCAUGUCUCAUAGCAUGCUUCUUGACAAACCCGAAAGCUACCUUUAUAACUACCCUGUUACGGCGUAGCGUUUGAUAGCCCCUAAGUAGGUCGAUCCACAUCUAUAAUACAUGCGACAAUCUCAGGUCUAAGGACAAAGCGUAUAUGUUGUUUAAAGAGAGAACUACUUCUCGUGUUGGGUCAGUCCUAGCACAUGUCUCCACAUGUGUCCACAUUAUUAGUUCAACAUCUCCAUGUCCAUGACUUGUGAAACAUAGUCAUCAACUAAUACAUGUGCUAGUCUAAUAUUCAUGUGUGUCCUCACAUGAACUCCGACUAGGGACAAUUUUAGAAUAACCAUACAAGUAAAGAGUUUCACAUACAAUUCACAUAAUUGCAAAUCAAUUCAAGUAGCCUUUAAUGGAUAUUCAAUGAACACAAUAUACAAAUCAUGGAUACAAAUGGAAUAUCAUCAUCUCUAUGAUUGCCUCUAGGGCAUACCUCCAACACUCAGGGGCUUGUCGGCUAGGCACCCCUGGGCCCACUAGAAGACUUGUACGGACCCACUCAACGGAACGUACCUGGAACCUACUCGGACAUGAAGACUACUCUGCAGGGCGCAUAGGCUUCAUGGACUCCCCGAAGAUUAUUCGGGUCAAAAGGAAACUACUCUACCGAGUUAGAAUAGAACUUUGUAAACGUACUCGACUAGGACUCAUACACAAUCCGCCCUAUAACCCUGCUCCCCCGACUAUAUAAGGGCGGGCAUGGACCCCUUCCAAACAACGAAGAACAAGAUCAAUACAACCUACACACAUGACGUAGGGUAUUACGCGAUCUAGCGGCCUGAACCUGUCUAAAUCAUGUUCUUUGUGUCACCAUCGACUCCUUGAUUCUUGACAACACCCACCACACAAAAGACCACCUUGGGUACUCCCUAGGCGGGUUGCCGGUCUAAAACACCGACACUCACCAACUAAGAUGGGAGUCAAGUACAAGCAUGAAAGUAAUACUAAAUAUAUAAUCCAACACUCAAUAGGAAAAAGCAACAAAACUCGAUUACUCCAAGAAAAUCCAUAUCACUCAAUCAGCAUUACAUGAUAGACACAUGCUACCUUGAGGCUGACUCCCAAGCCUUGGAGGUCUCACAGACACCAUCGAUCUAAGUACAUUGUGAAAGAUUUCAAAAGCGGUAGUGCCUACUCAUGGUGAUUCAUGGUAAUCAUGACUCUUCAUGUUCCAGAACAUGCUCACGGCUAACAUGGAACAACUACUAAAAGCUACUAUAUUACAACUCUACUUUUAUUCUUGCUCGGUGGCAUCGCUCAAGCACGCUCCUCGGUGUGAGCCUCCUUGUAAGAGAUAAGGCAGCGAUCCUCAGGGGUGUACUCAGGGGUAAACAUCUUCUCAACCAUUGCUUGCGUGGCCUUUACCUCCUCGGUUUCCACAGGGGUGGGCAUGUCCUCGGCUGGACACAAGUGGAGCUUAAGCGUGGUCGAGUACACGGUGAAGUCCUCCUUGCGUAUGGCACACUGAGAUUUGGGUGAAAGCUCGUUGCUUGCCUCCAGGAGCUCAUCCACACAGAGCGAAUCCGCGUCCUUCCAAGUCUUAAGUAAUAUCUUGGACUUGUCUUGGAGGUACAACACAGGACAAGUGAGCACAGCUAUGUUCACCACGUUGUGCUUUUGGUUGGUUUCCUACUCCUUGAUCUUUUCUUGCGUGCGGCCAAGCAGGUGUCCACAAACAGUCAGGAGAUUGUCCUUUCCCUACAUCUGUUGCUUCAGUCAGUCAAGACUCAUGUGAAGCUUCCUCUUAUCCUCCAUGGUGUGAAUCAGUACCUCAUUGAUGUCUGCGCGUUCCUUCUCCACACGGAUCAGGGUAGCGGUGGAAGUGUUGAGAGCACUCUCGAGCUGCUGGAGUCGGCGACGGAGAGUGUAGUUCUCCCUCUCGAGAGCCUGGCACUAAGGAUAGUACUCACGGGCCCUCACGGUGGCCUGGUCGAAGGUGCGGUGGAAGUCCAGUGCCUCAGACUUGAGUCGGUGGACAUGGUUGUCGAAGUCGACUAGGAAAGACCUGGUGGUAGACAUCGUCUUGUCCUCCUCUCGGAGAGGUGCAACCCGCACCUCCUCCUGCUAGUCCUUGAGGUUAGGCAUGCCCCAGUACCCUCGAGGAAGGAGUCAGAAGUUUGUGGACUCAAACUCCUCCCGGUACCGAGCCAACACCUUCGCCAACAGUGUCAGUCAUACAUCUAUGGGCCCACUGGGAGACUUGGACAGUCCUACAUAUGGGGCUAUACACCAAGAUAUGUCAGACAUGGAGACUACGGUGCAGGACGGCAUGGUCUGCGUGGUGGACAAGGACUAGUUGAGGAUUAGGAAACUACUUGUAGCAAUUAGAGUAGGACUCUCUGAUCAAAUCCGACAAGUACUAUUGUACAACAACCGACCUGUAACCCUACCCCCGACAAUAUAAGGCGAGGCAGGGACCCCCUCCAAACAAUCAUCAAUCAAUACAAUCCAACCAACACACAGGACAUAGGGUAUAUGAAGCGUCCCCACAUCAGCGGAGACUAAAUGUGAUGCAAAUAUCAGUCCCAGGAGGCUGAUAACACAUUUAUUCAAUAGAUAGUUCAAAUACUAUACAACUCCCGAGGGAGUGGGCGUGAAAGCCACGCCGCGAUAAGAAGCAAAUAAAUAACAGCAGCGAGCCAAGCGAUUGCCAAAAGACAGCACUCGAGACUACACGGCAGCAGAAGCAUCUUGCGAAGGCCAACUCCACAGGUAGCGUUGGGUGCGGACACAACCUCCUACUCAAACUCCUCGGUGACGAAGUUCGUGUCUGCCUCUGUAAGCAAGGGUGAGUACAGAAGUACUCAAAAAGUCCAACCCCAUCCACGGAGGGGGAUACAACCAAGAGUAUGCACGGAUAUUAACAAGGAUAAGGCUAGGGUUCAUUUGCAACAAAGCUAGAUUUUCAACACAUGCAAGGGUUUAUUUUUUGAAAGAGUUUUCGCAAAGCUUUUCCUUUAGUAACCGAAACAUUGAGUGGGGUUGAUCCUACACAAAGGAUCCAAAUUUUUAUUGCUAUCAGACUCACCGUCCGCCAUAGCCCACGGCACAACUGCCGGACACUUCCAAAACCCAACACACACCAUAAAAACCAUCCAUCUCCAAAUGCUAGUUAUGUGACCAAGCCAUAACUCGUCCAAUGUCGUGGACACGGCUACCCAGAUAGGUCUUAACUCUGCAGAGGUUGUACACUUUUCCCACAAGUAGGGUACUGCAGCACGAUCAUCUUGAUGCCGGUGUGGAUCCUAACAAAGUCAUUACCCACCUUAGCUAAGACUGGCUAGUCCACACGGAAGCGACCAAGGGGUUAACAACCUAUCAACGAGGUCUUAACCGGGACUUAAGUCACAAGGAUCUUACUCCUUUCCAUGGGCUCCCGUUGCUCACCAGCUCACUCGAAGAGUAACAAUUUAGCUAGUGGGAUUUAUGCUAAGCCGUUGCCCAUACAACGAUCGAGUGGUUGCACGAUGGUUGAAUUAGGCAAGAUGACACAUUAACUCGGUCCUUAAUCAUGACAAGAUGGAUAUCUCCCAACCUUGCUCAACCACUAAGGUACGAGCCCAACAUUCUGGCAUUUCACACAAGAAACACCCAUCCAUCUCAUCUAAGCCUUUCUUGCCUUUAUACCCGAAAACCCAUUUUCUCAUUUGAAAACACUCACACAUUUAUUCUCUAAAUAAACCAUUGUAGUCAUGAUUGAAUUUGAGUAACAAGGUCCUAGGCAUUCUAGCAACAAUUAUCAUCUAAACAGAGCAAGUCAUAUUUAGAGAUAAUUAUAGGACAACAAGGAAUAUUCAUAACAAUCAAGGGGGUGGCUAUCCAACCAUGCCUUGCAAUAAAACAAUAUGCACUUUUAUAAAACAGGCCAAUAGGCUGUCUUUGAAAAACUAGGAAUUUAAAUAUGCAUCAAAGGGUGAGAUUGGACUUGCCAUCCUCAAAGCCUUCCGAGAGUUCCUGCUUGUGCUGCUAGUCCUCGGGCUUGGGCUCGCAGUCGAAUUCCUCCUCGUGCUCCUCCUUGGGUACACCGCGAUCUACGGCACACACAAACGAGCACACAAUAAAUAAAAAAAAGAUUUUACCCAUUGAGCUCCGAACAGAAAAUGCAAACGGAAAAUAGGUGGGAUGAGUAUUUUCAUGAAAUUUGGAUAUGCCUCGGUGGAACUAUACUGGAGGAUGAUGUGGUCAAAUUUGUGUUUAAUUGGAGGAAGUUUGGCGCAUGAAAUGACGAGUUAACGGAGUAUUAGGGGCUUAAAUGAAGGUUUAGGACUGACUUGCGAGAAACUAGGGACCUAUCUGUAAAUACUUUUGGGAGGGAACGGCUUCCUACGUAAAAGGGUAGGAGAGAGGUGGGAGGACUUAUUUGGAAUUUAGGGAAAGGUGGGGGUUAGAUCGAAAAGGGGAAGUUUAUCUCUUCUCCUUCGUUCAGGAAUAGAGAGAGAGAGAGAGGGUGGGGAAGAUGGCCGGCGGCGGCCGGCCGUGGCUUUGCCGGCAGCGAGGGGAGACGGCGGGGAGAGGUGGAGGAGGGUGAGGGGAGCCCAUUUUGACCCCUCACCUUGGGCGGGCGGCACCGAGAAGGGGGCGCCGGCGGUGGCUUGGGCGGCGUUCCUGACGGUGGUGGCAGCGGUGACUUGGCGUGAGGGAGGCGGGUGCUGGUGUCCGAGAGAGGGGGUAGGAUGUGGCGGUGGUGGCCGGGGCGUCGCCCUCCCUUUUAUAGGCCGGCGGGGAGGGCGGAGAGCGGCCAGUGAGGUGGGACCGGCAAGCUCCGGCGAGCGCGGGUAGGGGCCGGCGCAGUGGCGGAACGGGGCCGGGGCGAUGCUGAGCAGGCGCGGUGCUGUGCGGUGGGGGGGACGGGCGCUGGGGGCGGCUCUGGGCGGCGUCGCGGCAGGCGCCUACAAUGUUUUGUACAUACAGAUUCACUGCUACAUUCUACUCAAAUAGAUACUGCUUCAAGUCUACGCGUAUUAGGUUCUAAUCCAUAUGAGCUCCUUGUGAGUAAAUCAACAACAUUGUUUACUACUUCUUAUGACCUUUCGUGUUUACCAAUGAUGUUUCGGCAUUGAGCCACUUGAUUACGAGCUUCACUCCAAACUAUAUGAAUGUAUUGUAUUGCUGCAACCAUUGACCUCCACUUCAAAAUCAUCUUGGAUCCAAAUUCCACCAUUUUGUUUUUCAAUUUGUUUCCCUUGAUUUUGUCCUACAUAGCAAUAGCUAUUGAUCGAUAAUUAUGUCAAAAAUAAACACCAUUCCUCGUAUUUCCAACGGAUGCAAUGCCUUCUUUAUACACAUCUUCUUCUACACUUGCAAAGUCAUAUUUUGUUUCAAUUUCCAACGUUCUUCUGCAUAAAACAUCUUCCUUGCUAUUACCAUGUUUGACUACAUGCAAUACCAUCUCACCAACAAAUGCAUGAUUUCCCAUUUGUAUUAUCUCCACUUCUACCUUUUUAUUUGGAGACCCAUCAAUUAUAUUAUCAAAGAUGAAUUUAUUUGAAACAGAAACAAUCCUUCUCCACUUUUGCAUAUAUUAGCAACUGUAAGUGCAAUGACAAAAUAUGUCUUUAGACUGAUCAUGCUACGAUCAUUUUAAGAAGAACAUGUAAGAAAUGAUUAUGGUCAUAACUCAUACCUUUAUAGCUUCACGUAUAUUGAUAUUAACCCUGCUUCCAUAUAUGUCUCUCUGCUCCCUCAAGUUCUUUAGCCUUGCUUUGCUUUCUACUACAUCAAUUCUAAAUAGCAAUACUCUAUCUUUGAGCACAUUUAUAAACCAAGUCCACACCUUGGUCGAUGCAUUUUCAAUACCACUAAGAUCAGAGUCAAUCAAACUAUAACCAUAUACUUGAUAUAGUCUUUCUACUCCAACCAAUCUAGCUUCCCAACCAAACAGAAUAUCAGAGUUAAUAUAGAAUAGUUGACACAUCUUAUCGUGCAUUGAUUCCCAUUCUGCAUAGAUGGUGUCUCUUUCUCUACUGCUAUAAUCGGCAGUACCAAUUCUAUGAAUUUGCACCAGAUGCUCCACUACUUUGUUAUACAAAGAUGCUUUUGCAUCCUCGGUAUUGUUAUUUAAGUCACUACGAAUAUACACAUCUACCAUAUUCUCGAACAUGUUGCCAUCUCUUGGAAACUGAAAAGAAAGACUUAUUUGCCAGUUAUUGCUCUCUAUGCAAGUGCAGCUAAAAUGUGGUUGUGUGCUGUUUAGCAAGCAACCCAACUGCCGCACUACUAACUCCAUUAAUCCUAAUUGUUUCCUGAAAUACAAAAACCCAUGUUCCAAAAAAUUAGAUAUUAAUAUAUUAUCAAUUAAUGAUGAUUAGCCAAUAGUAUUGUACCUCCCAGUAACAUUGAUACAAAUCUUUCCGUACCAAUCAUCAUUCCACUGCAAUGUCUUUCCAAUAUCACUCAUAGGGCACAAUUCUUCUAUUGUCAUUCUACACGGGUCAACAUAAAAAACAUGAAUUAUAGUCAUAAUCUAAUCAAUAUGAGCAUGAACAAGCUAGAGUUGUAAUCAACAAAUACAAACACUAAUAUUGUGUACAUACUUGUCUCAUCUAUAGAUUACCACGGCUAUGUUGCACACUAUAAUACUAUUGACACAAUUCAGGUUAUGUCUUCAAUUUACUUUAGUAACAUAAUAGUGAGUACAUAGUGAGUACAUAGUUAUUUGACAUCGACAAUUUAUUGACAACAUCAACAUACUAUAACAACGUCAAGUCUCACAAAAAGUGUGGUCAUGAUUUACAAUCCCUAAUUAUUUAUACACAUAAUCUAUGGGAAAACUUCAUAUAUCUAUGACCCCUUCAGUUCAAGUAAUGGCGUUUCCUACUUAGUCAACUGCUUUUCCAUUUCUUUAUAGUGAAUAUUCGUGUCCAUUUCUAUAGAGUAAGCAAAACUAUAUAGAUCUAUUCCUAUUUUUGUAUGCAGAGACUAAAUACUGAUAAACUAACAUGUGAAUCACUUGGGUUCCAGUGAAAAUCCUAACACAGUGCCAGCGAACAUUUCACUUUACUACGAGACCCAUGUACCUUUCCUCCCUGUCCUCCUUACUCCAAUAUGUUCGAAAAGAAACAGGGAUCAAUUAGUCGAAUUAGCAUUACAAAUCAGAAACAAUUCCGUCAAAUGUGAAACAAAUCCAAUGACAAUAGCACCUGAUGAGAAUAAACAAAAGUUUGGAACUCAUCCAAUCCUAUUCUACAACAUUGGCAUUUGCUCAACACCAAUCUGAAACUGAAUCUUCAAUUGCAAAACAAGCUUGCAAAGGAUAAAGAUCCUACCAAGUCAACCCAGAAAACUGAUACCAAAUGAUACAGACAUGGCCCGAUCUUCUCAACGUAGGAUCGCUGAACCACAUGUAUUGAUAGAAAGAUAACUAUUGUACUCUCUGAUCUCCAUGGACCAGCAAGCACAAUCUUGAUAAGUUGCCAUCGAACCCUCAACUCCCAGCGGAAAAGCAAGCGCGAUCUUCGGCAGAGCGCCCGAUUCCCCUUUUAUGAUAUGCAUAGGAAGAACAGGCAUGAGACCCUCAUCAUGGACAAGCACAUAGCUAAAUCAAUUCAUAAUUCAAGUCUAAGGUUACAUGGAUGCACAUCCCUAACUUAUAUAGUACCUAAGGGAACCUAAAACCUAGACUCUCAUAAACUUUGGACUCAAUCUGUUGUCAUCUUCUCUUCUGAAUUGUGGCGCAUAUUUAAAGAACCUUGGCUUGGACUCCAUCCAUCACAUGGGAAAUAAAAUUAUAUUUCCAAAGAGUACUCAAACGUCCAAAACAGACUCCAUACGUAGGAGAUAUGGACAUCUUAAUCCAGGGUUGUCACGUUGUGACAUGGCAACCCGAAUUUAAUUCAAAUUUUCCAAUCUUCGAACUCCUUCUUAAUUUCAAACCAAAUCCUUACCAAACUUGACCAAAUAAGUCUUUAAAUCCCUUCUAGAUUUAUGGUAGAGUCGGAUACGAUAAAUAAGGGCUUCUGGAAUAGAGACUCUCCAUGUUUUACAAUCCGUGCUCGUCAACGUGAUAGCCUGCAUAGCCUUCAAUGAAAUUGCCAUAACUCUUGGUACAAAACUCCAAAUCUUGUAAGGUUUGAUCCGUUGGAAAGAAGACUUGAUACCCUUUCUAAAUAUUACCUUUUGAAUCCAUGAAAUCUUCUAUAUUGAUGCGCACAACUCAAGAGCGAUGACUGCCAGAACAAAUGACCCUGUAACUUGCGUUCCUGAUCCUCAUCGUUCUCCCCUUCUUCAAAACGAGUUGUCCUCGACUCUUGCUGAUUGUUGAAGCUUUGGUCGACGACUAAGAUGACGACUAACACACUAUGUUGACUAACCAUGCUGCCGUCCCAACAUGGAUUCAACCACAAACAUGACUUAAAAAAUACAGACUCGAUGACACAACUGAUAACUACAAAUUAGCAUUACAAAUCAGAAACAAUUCCAUCAAAUGUGAAACAAAUCCAAUGACAAUAGCACAUGAUGAGAAUAAACAAAAGUUCAGAACUCAUCCAAUCCUAUUCUAAAACAUCGGUAUUUUCUCAACACCAAUCUAAAACUAAAUCUUCAAUUGCAAAACAAGCUUGCGAAGGAUAAAGAUCCUACCGAGUCAAACCAGAAAACUGAUACCAAAGGAUACGGAGAUGGCCCGAUCUUCUCGACGUAGGAUUGCUGAACAACAUGUAGUGGUAGAAAGAUAACUAUUGUACCCUCUGAUCUCCAUGGACCAGCAAGCACAAUCUUGAUAAGUUGCCAUCGGACCCUCAAUUCCCAGCGGAAAAGUAAGCAUGAUCUUCGGCGGAGUGCCCGAUUCCCCUUCUAUGAUAUGCAUAGGAAGAACAGGCAUGAGACCCUCAUCAUGGAUAAGCACAUAGCUAAAUCAAUUCAUAAUUUGAGUUUAAGGUUACAAGGAUGCACACCCCUAACUUAUAUAGUACCUAAGGGAACCUAAAACCUAAAACCUGGACUCUCAUAAACUUUGGACUCAAUGGGCUGUCAUCUUCUCUUCUAAAUUGCGGUGCAUAUUUAAAGAACCUUGGCUUGGGACUCCAUCUAUCACAUGGGAAAUCAAAUUAGCUUUCCAAAGAGUACUCAAACAUCCAAAACGGACUCCAUACGUAGGAGAUAUGGACAUCUUAAUCCAGGAUUGUCACGCUAUGACGUGGCAAUCCGAAUUUAAUUCCAAUCUUCGAACUCCUUCUUAAUUCCGAACCAAAUUCUUGCCAAACUUGAACAAUGAAGUCUUUAAAUCUCUUCUAGAUUUAUGGUAGAGUUGGAUAUGAUAAAUAAGAGUUUCUAGAUUAGAGACUCUCCACGUUUUAUAAUCCAUGCUCGUCAAAGUGACAACCUGCAUAGCCUUCAAUGAAAUUGCCAUAACUCUUGGUACAAAACUCCAAAUCUUGUAAGGUUUGGUCCAUUGGAAAUAAGACCUGAUACCCUUUCUAAUCUCACCUUUUAAAUCUAUGAAAUCUUUUGUAUUGAUGCGCAUAACUCAAGAGAGAUGACUGCCAGAACAGACGACCCUUUAACUUGCGUUCCUGAUCCUCAUCACGAAUCAAAUCCAACAAGCAUCAUUAGAUAGCUUUUCACUAUCCACUGCGUACCAACCAACUUCCUCUCUCUUAUUGACCGCCACCGCGUGCCUGCCCCUCGCGUGCUGUCCACAGUGACGCUCUGUUUCUAGACCUAGGUUUUCAGAAUGUUAAGUGCCGUCAACGCUAGAUUCUGCACGGAGUGAGUACCCAAACACACGAAAGAAGACGCGGGAAGUCUAAGCUACUGGUGACCUCGUGUUUCUUUGCUACACCAACUACUGGGCUUUUAAAAAUGAAUGGGCUGAUCCCGGCCCAAUAAUGCCCCGAAAACCCAAGGUUUCCUCCGCAAGGUUCGUCCACGGAGGGUGAGUCAGGCCCUAAGAUCAGGCCGAAAGGCGUAGUCGAUGGACAACAGGUCAAUAUUCCUGUACUACCCCUUGUUGGUACAGAGGGACGGAGGAGGCUAGGUUAGCCGAAAGAUGGUUAUAGGUUUAAGGACACAAGGUGACCAUGCUUUUUUAGGGUAAGAAGUGGUAGAGAAAAUGCCUCGAGUCGAGGUCCAAGUACCAAGCGCUGCAGCGCUGAAGUAUGAGCCCCGUGGGCUAGCCAUUGGACAUCUUUGGCACAAUCUAUAUUUUCGUGAAAUGGAUCAUAAUAAAAUAGAGUUUAGGUAUCUAGGGAAGAUUCACUUGGAAGUAACUAUUUCCUAGACACCCAUGCAUGGGGCUUCACGGUUGAAUGAAUCAACUCGAAAAAUCGAUUUUCUUUUACACUUUUGUAUCUCACUCUAUCUUGUUUUUUAGUAUUAUCUAAAAUAACCGAUGAAUUAUGAAUUUUCCAUAACUUAGGUAAGUGCUUUACCAACAUAUGUAGUUUAGUAAAAAAAUAAAUGGAAUUUAACCCCUUCAUGCUUACUAUAACUAGUUAUUUCGGUUUUCUACUAGCUGCUUUAACUAUAACCCUAGCUCUAUUUAUUGGCUUGAACAAGAUACGUCUUAUUUGAAAUGAAUUGAAUGAAUAAGUCAGAAAACAAUAAUCUUUCUUUUGGAUUCCUGGUAUUCUAGACUCUUUUCCACACUAAUUAUCAAUUCUUUUCUUGGUCAUUGAGAUUCGUGAAUAAUUUAGACUAUUAUUUAGAGAUAGAUCGUACCUCUUUUUUUUUAUCCCCUCGAACAAAUCGAAAUGAUUGAAGUUUUUCUAUUUGGAAUCAUCUUAGGCCUAAUUUACGUUGUUGAUUGGAGGAUAUCACACAUACACAAGAUACAGACACACGGAUAAACACAACUUUCAUGCGCAGCACUUGCAUGACAUGACGAAUGCACGACAAGAAGAUUAGCUGCCACGAUAUUUCAUACGUGUCCACCUUUGCCUAUAGGUGUUUGUAACUAAGAAUAUCUUAUAUAAAUAGCUAUCCAAGAUGCAAACUUCC
rnacentral:lncRNA from 1 species